rnacentral:tRNA from 1 species
UAGUUCAGUUGGUUAGAAUACCUGCCUGUCACGCAGGGGGUCGCGAGUUCGAGUCUCGU